rnacentral:rRNA from 1 species
GACGAACGCUGGCGGCGUGCCUAAUACAUGCAAGUAGAACGCUGAAGGAGGAGCUUGCUUCUCCGGAUGAGUUGCGAACGGGUGAGUAACGCGUAGGUAACCUGCCUGGGAGCGGGGGAUAACUAUUGGAAACGAUAGCUAAUACCGCAUAACAGUAGAUAUUGCAUGAUAUCGGCUUGAAAGGUGCAAUGGCAUGACUAGCAGAUGGAGCUGCGUUGUAUGGGCUAGGUGUUGGGGUAACGGCUCACCAAGGCGACGAUACAUAGUCGACAUGUGAGGGGGAGCAGCCGCCCUGGGACGGUGACCCGCCCCAGAGUCAUACGGGAGGCAGCCAUAGGGCAUCUGGGGCAAUGAGCGGAAGACUGACCGAGCAACGCCGAGUGAGUGAGGAGCGUUGUCGGGUCGUAGAGCUCUGUUGUCAGAGAGGAACGCGUGUGCGAGUGGAAAGUUCACACAGUGACGGUAUCUUGCCAGAAAGGGACGGCUAACUACGUG